CAGAGAUUCUAGAACAAGGGGGCAAUACAUCCACUGACAGAGCUCACAGAACACCUUCUACACUAAACCCCCAAAAGACAACUCCCAGGAAUGUAAUUGCCAAAUUCCAAAGCUAUCAAACAAAAGAAAAAAUCCUACAGGAAGCCAGAAAAAGACAAUUUAGAUAUAAAUGAAUGCCAAUCAGGGUCACACAAGACCUUGCAAGUUCUACGCUGAAUGAUCGUAAGGCAUGGAACAUGAUCUUCAGAAAGGCAAGAGAGCUGGGUCUCCAACCAAGAAUCAGCUACCCAGCAAAACUGACUAUAUACUUCCAAGGGAAAGUAUGGGCAUUCAACAAAAUAGAAGACUUCCAACUUUUUGCAAAGAAAAGACCAGAGCUCUGUGGAAAGUAUGGGCAUUCAACAAAAUAGAAGACUUCCAACUUUUUGCAAAGAAAAGACCAGAGCUCUGUGGAAAGUUUGAUACCGAAAAACAAAGAGCAAGGAAUACCUGAAAAGGUAAAUAUUAAAGAAAGGGGAAAGGAGAAAAAUGUUAUCUUCUUCUUUUACUCAAACUCGCUUCUAUAAGGACUACAUUUAUAUCAAUCUAUGUAUACUAACAUGUGGGGAAAAUGUAAUGUAUAAAUAGGGGGUAAAGAAAGACCAAAUAGAAUAAUCUUUCUCACACAAAGAUUCACAUGGGAAGGGGAGGGGAAGAAAACUCCUAUAAGAAGGAGAGGAAGAGAGGGUUUUUUACUUAAACCUUAAUCUCAGGGAAAUCAACUCUGAGAGGGAAAAACAUCCAGAUCCAUUGGGAUCUUGAAUUCUAUCUUACCCAACAAGGGCAGGGAGAAGGGAAAACCAAGGAGAGGAGGGGGGGAGGGAAAACAAAAGGGGAGGGAAAGAGAGGGGGGAGGGGGAGGGAACAAAAAGGGAGGGACUAAAAAGGGAAACAUCAAGGGAGGGGACAAGGGGGACUGAUUCAAAGUAAAUCACUGGACUAAAAGGUAGAGCCGAAGAAGAAAAGGUUAGAAUUAGGGAAGGAUAUCAAAAUGCCAGGGAGUCCACAAAUGACAAUCAUAACUUUGAACGUGAAUGGGAUGAACUCACCCAUAAAACGUAGACGAAUAGCUGAAUGGAUUAGAAUCCAAAACCCUACCAUAUGAUGUCUUCAAGAAACACACAUGAGGCGGGUUGACACCCA
rnacentral:lncRNA from 1 species